UGACUUACCUGGCAGGGGCGAGACCAUGAUCAAGAAGGUGGUUCACUCAGGGCAAGGCUCAGCCAUUGCACUCCAGUUGUGCUGACCCCUGCGAAUUCCCCAAAUUUGGGAAUCUCAACUGCAUAAUUUCUGAUUAUGGGGUACUGCAUUUGUGCUCUCCCCUG